rnacentral:rRNA from 1 species
ACGGAGAGUUUGAUCCUGGCUCAGGAUGAACGCUGGCGGCGUGCCUAACACAUGCAAGUCGAACGGAGCAUUUCGGUGCUCAGUGGCGCACGGGUGCAUAACACGUAGCUCAUCUGCCCUGGAGCGCGGGAUAACGUGCGGAAACGCACGCUAAUACCGCCUACGGUCACUGGUUGUAGAAGCCAGUGAAGAAAGGCGCAAGCCACUCUGGGAGGAGGCUGCGGCCCAUCAGGUAGUUGGUGUGGUAAAAGCGCACCAAGCCGACGACGGGUCGGGGGUCUGAGAGGAUGACCCCCCACACUGGGACUGAGACACGGCCCAGACUCCUACGGGAGGCAGCAGUGAGGGAUAUUGCGCAAUGGGGGAAACCCUGACGCAGCGACGCCGCGUGGGCGAUGAAGGCUUUCGGGUCGUAAAGCCCUUUUCCCACUGAGGAGAAUGGACAGUAGGUGGGGAAUAAGUCUCGGCUAACUACGUGCCAGCAGCCGCGGUAAAACGUAGGAGGCGAGCGUUAUCCGGAGUUACUGGGCGUAAAGCGCGUGCAGGCGGUUCGGUAAGUGGCGGGUGAAAGCGCCUGGCUCAACCAGGCGAGUGCCGGUCAGACUGCUGGACUGGAAUGUCGGAGAGGGACGCGGAAUUCCGGGUGUAGCGGUGAAAUGUGCAGAGAUCCGGAGGAACACCAGCGCCGAAAGGGGCGUCCUGGACGACAAUUGACGCUGAGACGCGACAGCGUGGGGAGCGAACGGGAUUAGAGACCCCGGUAGUCCACGCCGUAAACGAUGCCAACUCGAUGUCGGUGCCGCGAAAGCGGUUUCGGUGUCCAAGUUAACGCGAUAAGUUGGCCGCCUGGGGAGUACGGUCGCAAGGCUAAAACUCAAAGGAAUUGACGGGGGCCCGCACAAGCAGCGGAGCGUGUGGUUUAAUUCGAGGCUACACGAAGAACCUUACCUGGGCUUGACAUCAUGGUGGUAGGGAACCGAAAGGGGACCGACCUUCGGGAGCCGUGACAGGUGCUGCAUGGCUGUCGUCAGCUCGUGUCGUGAGAUGUUCGGUUAAGUCCGAAAACGAGCGCAACCCCCGGGGUACGUUACAGGUAUCGUGCCCGACUGCCCGUGAGAAACGGGAGGAAGGUGGGGAUGACGUCAAGUCAGCAUGGCCUUGAUGUCCAGGGCGACACACACGCUACAAUGGUCGGUACAAUGGGUCGCAAGGCGGUGACGCCAAGCCAAUCCCGCAAAGCCGGUCGUAGUUCGGAUUGCAGGCUGCAACCCGCCUGCAUGAAGUCGGAGUUGCUAGUAACCGCGCGUCAGCAGAGUGCGGUGAAUACGUUCCCGGGCCUUGUACACACCGCCCGUCACGUCACGGGAAUUGGUCACGCCUGAAGCCGCGCAGCCAACCGCAAGGCGGCACGCGUCGAGGGCAGGGCUGGUGACUGGGACGAAGUCGUAACAAGGUAGCUGUAGCGGAAGCUGCGGCUGGAUCACCUCCUUU